UGCCUCAAAGGUCAGCAUCUCAUCUGCAAUGUGUCACCCUGAGGACUCAUUCUGUACUUCUGGCCUACGGCUGACUGCAUGUGUACAAAACUGACAAGGAGCUCCCAGGAAACUUUCUUCAAAUAACAAGGUGUUGCAGUAAAAAUAAGAAAUGGCG